GGAGAGGUGACUGAGUGGCCGAAAGUACCGGUUUUGAAAACCGGCGAGGGUUUGUAGCCCUCCCAGGGUUCGAAUCCCUGCCUCUCCGCCA
rnacentral:tRNA from 1 species